rnacentral:rRNA from 1 species
UGGGGAAUAUUGCGCAAUGGGCGAAAGCCUGACGCAGCGACGCCUCGUGAGGGAUGAAGGUCUUCGGAUCGUAAACCUCUGUCAAGAGGGAAGAAACCCUUGGAUUCGAAUAGGGUCCUUGGCUGACGGUACCUCAAAAGGAAGCACCGGCUAACUCCGUGCCAGCAGCCGCGGUAAUACGGAGGGUGCAAGCGUUAAUCGGAAUCACUGGGCGUAAAGCGCUCGUAGGCGGUUUGGUCAGUCAGAUGUGAAAGCCCUCGGCUUAACCGGGGAACUGCAUUUGAUACUGCCAGACUUGAGUGUCGGAGAGGGUGGCGGAAUUCCGGGUGUAGGAGUGAAAUCCGUAGAUAUCCGGAGGAACACCAGUGGCGAAGGCGGCCACCUGGACGACAACUGACGCUGAGGAGCGAAAGCGUGGGGAGCAAACAGG